UGGCGGUUUUUUUUUAUUAUUAUUUUUUUUAGCUCGCACAUCAGCGCUGCUCCGGGAAGCCAUGCCUGCCGGCCGGCUCGCCCAAGGAGGGAGAGCGGGGCGGCGCCGCAGGACCCCAGCCCGCGGCAAAACGGCGGCGCCCUUCUCCGGAGCGGGAGCCGCGCAGGCUCUAUACCUGGCUGGGAACCGAGGGCGGAAGUGGCGUCAGGGCGUGCCUCCACUGAGGGCUGAAACACACUGUGAUUGGCUGGGAACCCGAGGGCGGAAGUGGCGUCAGGCCCUGCCUUAACUGAGGGCGGAAACACUCCGUGACUGGUUGGCAAUCCGGGGCGGCAGUGGCGUCAGGCCGUGCCUUCAAUCAGGGUGGAGACACUCCGUGAUUGGCUGGGAACCCAGGGCGGAAGUGGCGUCACGGCGUGCCUUCACUGAGGGUGCAAACACUCAGGGAUUGGCUGGGAACCGAGGGCAGAAGUGCCGUGCAGGGCUUGCCGGCACUGAGGGCGGAAGUGGCCGAGCCGGCCGGGAUCGGCUCGGGACCUGACGGGCCGGGCCGAGAUGCCGAGGCGUGGGCAGAGGCAGCUCCCCGCCGCUAGGACCCCUGCGGGGUUUGUUGCCGAGCGAAGGUGACGCACCGGCUACGCCGAGGAAAGCUGCAGCUGGCGUGCUGCAGCCGCGGGUUUCCCAGGAGAAAGAGCAGCCCGACUGUCCCAGCUGUCCAGCUUUCAGAGUUGUCCUAGAAAUAAACCGGUGCUUGCGGGCUUUCCAGAACGCUGGUUGUGGUCGGUCAAGACAGACGUGAGAGGCAAUUUCUUUCUGUCUGUCUGUCUAUUGGUUAUGUCCCAAGAGUUGUGCUUGAACUGUGUGCAAUAAAAGAGGCCUUGGGCCCGUACUGAGCAGCAAGAGAAAGCAAAACUCCAGGUAAGCGCUGGCCGUGGCAAAGUUGCUUGGGAAUUGAGCGGCUGGGGGUCUUUCCAGCAGAACUCGGUACGCAGACAGAAACGUGACCUUCGAGGUCCCUGUCUGUCUUGCGUUGAAGCUGUGGUAUUUGACCCCUAACUGUAUGGAGUUGCUAAAUCCUAGAGGGGAUGAUAGAGACGUCCCUGGUUCAGCCUUUUUUGCCACAGUCGUUGCAGAAAUUUUGGAAAAGUGAGUAUUAUCCCUCUCUUUAAAUUCACCUUUUAAAGUAUUCUUUCUGCAAACUCCUGUCUGUGGUUUAGGUACUUGAUUUGCGUGAAACAGAGCCAGACUUUCCUAUUAAGUAGUGCCCCGAUUGAAAUUCCCUGUCGUUGGAGAACAAGAACUAUAAAUGGUGCUUGGCAAUUUAAAAUCUCUUGGCUUCUACGAAGGCUAACUUGCCAAAGCGAGUAGGAAGUAGCCUAAAGUUCAGUAAAGACGCUGAAUAGAAAAGGUCCUCUUCUUGAUGGGAAAAGAGCUUCGCAGAACAUGAGCUCUGUUUCCCGUAGGGCUCCCUGCUUACCCACCCGUUCAGCGAUUAUUGCAGGCUUUGACUGGUCCCCUCAGGUCCAAUAUCGCACAAGCGUUGUGCCGCAGAUGGUACCUUAGCUUACUUUCCAUCUCGUGCUGCGUUACUUAUACCCGCAGAAGACUUACUUCAGCGUCGAAUAAACCCCGUGCGAAGUGACCCCGACUCAUGCCAGUGGGACCAUCGCAUUGUGGCUGGUAAAAUCCAGGAACAGGACGAUGCUUGGAAGAACGUAACCUAUGGAGGAGCAGGCAACAGUCUCCUGUUAGGCAACAGGUUUUCGAGACUGGUUUCCCUACCCCCCUGUGCAUUUUGAAGGAGGCAGUCCCUAGGCUGAUGCAAUCCAACUGCAUCUAAGCUGUAGGUUGUUACUUCCAUAAACUAUAAAGGAACUUAACGUGUUUUUUUGUUUUGUUUUGUUUUUUGUUUUUUUUUGUUUUAAAUCGAGGCUCGUGUGCGUCCGUUUGCCUUGUCCCGAUGGCUGGUGCAGAUGAUCGCUCACGUGCCCCAAAGCUCCUUGUGCUGAUGUUGGAUGUGCCCCUCGGCAAAGGACCGCAUCCCGUGUGUUCAGCUUUUCUUCCUUACCGUGUCGUAUGUAUGUAUGUAUUUAUUUACUUUUCUCAAAGAAAGGGUGGAUUUUUCAUGGGUUUCUCUGUGAGCGUAUCGAACCAGGCCGCAGUAAAUACGCGUAAGCGAGUAGGCUGCAGCGCGUACUGGACGGUAUCAGAGCGCUACCCUGCUAGCAGUGGAGAGCCAGGUGAAGGUGUCUAGGGUAAGGGCUUGUUCUGCCUCAAGUUGAACGGAAAGUUUCUGAAGUUGAGCAUCCCAGGGGAUGUUUGUAGGACUGUUGUUUUGUUAGACGAUAAAAGUUCAGAUGGCUGUCGAUGAAGGGGAUUUUGUUGGCUCUUUUAGAUAGCUGUUCCUACCGAAGAUCGCAUCGGUUACAAAAGGUAAUAGUAACCUUGCGGUCUCUACGUUCUGUAGCAUCUGUAGCAAAAUAAACUGGCAGAUGAAUAAAUGAGCAGGUACAAAUACACGUGACUCUAUAGCUGAGAUUAAAUAACGUGCAGUUUCUUCUGUGUUUUGUCUUUCAAAGCACAUUGUUGCCGAGCGCCUGAGCUUUUUGCUCACGUUACCGGGGAGAGGAAUGGCUGCGCUUCUUCCCCCCUCAUCCCUCUCUUUUUUUUUUCUCUCCUCUUUUCCUCAAGGAAAUGUUUUCCUUGGAUGUCCA